UGCUAGUUAAUGUUCUUCGUGAACAUAGCGGACUGCUCAGUAACACGUGGACAAUCUGCCCUUGGGUUCAGCAUAACCCCGGGAAACUGGGGAUAAUUCUGAAUAGAUCACAUAUGCUGGAAUGCUUUGUGAUUUAAAGAUCCGUCGCCCAAGGAUGGGUCUGCGGCCUAUCAGGUUGUAGUGGGUCUAGAGUACCUACUAGCCGACGACGGGUACGGGUUGUGAGAGCAAGAGCCCGGAGAUGGAUUCUGAGACAUUAAUCCAGGCCCUACGGGGCGCAGCAGGCGCGAAACCUUUACACUGCGGGAAACCGCGAUAAGGGGACACCGAGUGCCAGCAUACAAUGUUGGCUGUCCACAUGUGUAAAUAGCAUGUGAUAGCAAGGGCCGGGCAAGACCGGUGCCAGCCGCCGCGGUAACACCGGCGGCCCGAGUGGUAAUCACUAUUAUUGGGUCUAAAGGGUCCGUAGCCGGUUUAAUCAGUCUUCCGGGAAAUCUGACAGCUCAACUGUUAGGCUUCCGGGGGAUACUGUUAGACUUGGGACCGGGAGAGGUAAGAGGUACUACAGGGGUAGGAGUGAAAUCUUGUAAUCCCUGUGGGACCACCAGUGGCGAAGGCGUCUUACCAGAACGGGUCCGACGGUGAGGGACGAAAGCUGGGGGCACGAACCGGAUUAGAUACCCGGGUAGUCCCAGCCGUAAACGAUGCUCGCUAGGUGUCUGGAAUGGUGCGACCGUUUCAGGUGCCGCA
rnacentral:rRNA from 1 species